rnacentral:lncRNA from 1 species
GGCAAUCCUGAGCCAAAUCCUAUUUUCUGAAAACAAAUAAAGGUUUAGAAAAAAAGGAUAGGUGCAACGACUCAAUGAAAGCUAUUCUAACAAAUGGAGUUAAAUGUGUUGGUAGAGGAAUCUUUACAUCGAAACUUCAGAAAGAAAAAGAAUGUAGUGAAGGAUAAACGUAUAUACAUACGUAUUGAAUACUAUAUCCAAUGAUUAAUGACGACCCGAAUCCCUGAUCAAAUUAUUCACUCUAUAGUCUGAUAGAUCUUUUGAAGAACUGAUUAAUCGGACCAGAAUAAAGAUAGAGUCCCGUUCUACAUGUCAAUACCGGCAACAAUGAAAUUUAUAGUAAGAGAAAAUUCGUCGACUUUUAAAAUCGUGCUGGUUCAAUUCCCUCUAUCCCCAAUAAGACUAUUUGAAACCCUAACUAUUUCUCCGACCCCCUUUCCUUAGCAGUUCCAAAUUACUUAUCUUUCUCAUUCACUCUAUUCUUUUAGAAAUGGAUUUUUCUUUUAGAAAUGGAUUUUAGCGUAAAUGGCUUUCUCUUAAGUGAUAUAUAUGAUACACAUAGAACUGAACAUCUUUGAGCAAGGAAUCCCUAGUUGAAUGAUUACUAAUAUCAUUACUCAAUACUGAAACUUACAAAGUCAUCUUUUUGAAAAUCGAAGAAAUUCCCUGGCUUUGAUAAAAAAUUUUAAUCGACUUUUGUCCUUUUAAUUGACAAAGACCUAUUGACAAAGACCCGUUUAUAUGUUAAGAUCAAAUUUGUUAAGAUAAAAUUAGAGUAACAAGCAGAGAACUAAAAAUCCUCAUGUUAACGAAUGGUUCCAAUUGGGAAGACCAGAGGACUCUAAAUCCUCCUGUUAAUGAGGACUGAAAAUUCUCAUGUUCGAGGUUCCAAUUGGGAUUGGUAGACCAAAGGAUUGUAAAUCCUUUUCCCACCAGUUCCAAUUAGGAAUACCGGGGGACUCUAAAUCCUUGUGUUUAAGGUUCGAAUUGGGAUUGGUAUAGCCCUGAAAAUCCUCGAGUUACCAGUCCCAACCUUGAUAAAAAAUCUAGAUUGGGAAUAGUCGGGAUAGCUCAGUUGGUAGAGCAGAGGACUGAAAAUCCUCAUGUCAUUUAUAUGGGUAUCUCUUCACUAGAAUUAAUUUCUAAUUAAUUGAUAUGAAUCAACAUACAUAUUCUUUUAGAGUCUAGAUUAGAAUAAUAGCUUUACCCAGUUUGGCGAGAUAUACCCCAUACUAUGUUCUAUAUAGGUAGAGUUUCAUAGAUUAAGUAUCAAAAAAAAUUGGAUUCUAUCUCCUCUUUUUUAUCUCCUCUCGUUCAAACGAAUUUGAAUACGUAAUACAUAUUUGAAAGGUAAAAUUAGUUAAUUGUUGAAAGGCUCAAAAGUCGAAUCCAGGGGGGUUGAAAUAGACAAGAUUCAGCUCAGAUCCAAAGAAAUAGAAUUCGAUAUUCUUUCAUUUCUUUGUCUUUUCUUUCAUAUUUGAUUUCUUCAUUCCGGAUUUCUCCAUCCCUUUCUAUAUGCCCUUCUAGAAAGUUCAUGAUGCAGAACUCAUUUGGUUCAUCCUAUUGGUAUGACUCAUCCGAAAUAAGUAUCUUCCAAAUAAAUGUGAGAAUUACAAUGAAUCUCUAAUUGUCUUUUUUCAUUAGCCUAUUGAUAAUUCCCUAAAUUAGACCUGCUUAAUAUAGAACAGAACGUGCAAUCCUUGAAUAUCUUAAAUUGUCUAAGUGGAAAUAGCUUUCUUAUUAUUCAAUGAGCAUCUUGUAUUUCAUAAAAAUUGGGGGCAAUAUAAUCCUUACGUAAGGGCCAUCCUAUCCAACUUUCAGGCAUUAAGAUACGUUUCAAGCGUGGAUGAUUAUCAUAAGAGUUCCCAACAUAUCAUAUGAUUCUCGUUCUUCAAAAUCCACGCUUUUCCAAACCUAGAAAACAGACGGAAUUCUAGGAUUCCUCCUGCAGGCAAAGACUUUUAUGCAUACCUCUUCUGGUUGAUCCACACCAUCCUCUAUUCUCGUAAGAUGAUACACACUAGCUAACAGCCCGCCAGGCGCUACAUCAUAGGCACAUUGAGAGCGGAGAUAAUUGUACCCAUAUACAUAAAAAAUGACAGCAAUGGAAUGCCAAUCCUCGGGCUUUAUUUGUAAAGUCUCUAUUCCUUGGUAAUCAAAGCCCAAAGAUCUAUGAAUUAGCCCAUGCUUGACUAGCCAAGCAGACAAACGACCCUGCAUCUUUUUUAUCUCUCCCGCAUUUUUAUUUGUAUAAGUAUUUCACAUUUACGAUUAAAUUUAUGAAAAUUGACCCACCACUUCUUAUUCUGGACAAAGGAAUCCUGUCUAAUUCACUAAUUCGGGGGAAGAUACUGAAUUUUUGUAUUUGGAAAAGAUUUCCGUAGGGAUCUCUGAAGUAGAUGGUGGUUGAUAAAGAACUCUUUGAUCAUAAUUUCCCGUAUGAAUACUGCGUCGAACAUGAAACUUGUGAUUGGUAGUAAAACACCGAUUCACUCGUUGAGACCUAAUUCGAUCUUCAUAGAGUUCUCGAGAUAUUUUCUUACGAAGUUUUGUUAUAGCAUCUAUAACCGCUUCCGGUUUAGGUGGGCAACCUGGCAAAUAUACAUCUACAGGAAUUAGCUUAUCGACUCCCCGAACAGUACUAUAAGAAUCGGUACUGAACAUCCCGCCUGUAAUUGUACAGGCUCCCAUAGCAAUAACAUAUUUUGGUUCAGGCAUUUGCUCAUAUAAUCUCACUAAAGAGGGGGCCAUUUUCAUUGUUACUGUUCCAGCCGUUAAAAUUAGAUCCGCUUGUCUAGGACUCGAUCUUGGUACUAGUCCAUAACGAUCAAAGUCGAAGCGUGAGCCUAUUAGUGAAGCAAAUUCAAUGAAGCAACAACUGGUACCAUAGAGAAGCGGCCAUAAACUAGAGAGUCUUGACCAAUUUGAAAGAUCAUUUAAUGUAGUUGAAAUAACUGAAUUUGGGGCUGUUCGAUCAAGUAAAGGAAACUGAAUGGAAUUCAUAACUGUCUCAAUCUUAUUUUUUCCGUUUUUCUUUUUAUUGUCUGAAUAUUCAGGAGCUAAGACCAUUCCAAUGCCCCCUUUCGCCAUGCAUAAACUAAACCAAUAAUUAAGAUAAGCACGAAAAUCAAAGCUUCUAUAAAUACAGAUACACCCAAUACGUCGAAACUCAUUGCCCAUGGAUAAAGAAAAACCGUUUCAACAUCAAAAACAACAAAAACUAGAGCAAACAUAUAAUAACGAAUUCAAAAUUGUAACCAAGCAUCACGCAUUGGUUCUAUACUUGACUCAUAAGUAGAAAGUUUCUCUGGCCCUUUUCUAAUCGGGGCUAACACUCCAGAAAUGAAAAAUGCCAAAAUAGGAACAAGGAUGGAUAUUAUUAGAAAUGACCAAAAAAAUUCAUAUUCGUAAAACAGAAACAUAAACGCACUCCUAUGAACGUGAAAAAUAUACCGGAUUCGACUGGUCGAUUCGAAUUGUAAUUGUCAAGCCAUCCAUAACUAUAUUAGUCAAAACAAGAAUUCAUUUUGGUCGAACCGCCUAGUUUGGCUUUGUUUAUUGGUUUAUUGUAGGGCAUAUCUCAUUGCAAGAUUCAUCGACUGGAAUCCGAUUUUAUUUCCAUUAUACUUAUUUCCAUUUUAUUUAGUUAGUAGAACCUUCUAACUAUAUAUUACUCUUAUACAAAUUCUCCUCUUUCUCUUGUUUUUUUCUCUAAACUAAAGACGGGGAAUUCUAAAUUAAUUAAUUAUCUUAGUUCUUCUUUAAUUUUUCUUCUUUAAUUAGAAAUUCUUUAAAUAUUUCUAUUUUUUUCUAUAAAUAGAAUAAAUAGAAUCAGGAGGUCUUUAUUUUAAUUUUUUUUCUUAGUGAUUUAGUGAUCUAGAAUGGAACAAGUAAUCAAAUAGAAGAGAAUGUAUAGGAACUUCCAUCUCAAGAUUUAGAAGAUCUUGUGUUGGUAUAUUCCUUUUAUUAUUUUAUUAUUAUUUAAUAAUAGUAUUAGGAUUCGAAUCCAGGUGGAGGGGUUUUUCUUGGUUGAAUACAGAAAAAGAAGACUACCUUUUUUGUGUUGUGCUUCGCUAGGUCGAGGUAAGUAAGGUAUACGAAGGAAAAGCCUAUUUGAUAAUGAAAGUGACCAAAGAUAUUCGUUUUUCAAAAAACUUUAGCUUGUACACAAAUACAGCAGUCCCUUCCUAAAUCCAUGUGAAUUCCUCUUCGUAGUUUUUCAUUUCACCAGGCCCGUGAAAUGAUUUGACUUCCAAAAUUCAAUAAGAUUGGGGAUAUCAAAAGAAAGGGGGUCUCACUAAUUCUUUUAUUGUGGAUAUGAAUAUGUAAUUCGCCUCCGAAGAUUAAUGACGAAAGGUUGGUUUGUUUAUCUGCAAUUGAAAAAAUAAAUAUCGAUUGGAUCCAUUGAUAUGCGUUUUUUCUUUCAUCUGCUUAAACUUAAACGAUUGCCGUGAGUAAACUUAUAGGAAUAGUUGAAUUUCACUUAGUUACAAGCAAGAAAUAAUAAUGAAGAAAUGAAAAUUAUACAAUUUUAUUUUUUCAUUUUUAUUUUAUUUUAUAGGGCUAUACGGACUUGAACCGUAGACCUUCUCGGUAAAACAGAUCAAACUUAUUAUUAUUAAAAUGAUCUGAACUGUUUCAAAGACCCAACAUGCAUUUUUUUUGCAUUGGGCUCUUUCAUUAACUGAUAUUUAUAGCAGUUAGUCUGCCAUUUUUUUUCUUGACAGAAAAAAAGAUAAGGAAAUGGCUCCAUGUGCUCUGAUUCAUUAUUUGGGAGCAUUACCAAAGUGUUUCAAAGGUGGGAUUAUCUUGACGUAGGUCUGUCUCUGGCCUAAAUAAACCUAAGUUAAAUGAAGUCUCUAUCGUUUCUGCUUAAAAAAUCAAAUAUGAAACUUCAUACACCUUAAAGUUCAUAUGACGAAAAGAGAUUUUUUUGAGGCCCUUAUACUCUCAUUAUGCCUAGCAUUUAAUAGACUGGGUAUUCACCUUAUCAGGAUCUCAAAUAAAUGAUGGGGUCUAUUUGGCACCUCCUAAAUGGACGUCCAAAUUGGAUCGAACCCUUUGUCAGGCUAUGAUUCCCUCAAAGUUAUGGAGUAAGACAUCGAUUUCUCAACAAGAUCGAUUUUUCUGAUCGUAUGAUGAACUCCCUUGAAAAACAUUGGCGCGCGUGUAAACGAGUUGCUCUACCAACUGAGCUAUAGCCCUUAGUGCUUGUGAUACAUAUUUUAUCAUGUAGAUAAAUUCUUGUCAAGAUAAAUAUUCCAUGAUCCAACAUCAACAAUCUUUGAUCUCUUUGAGUGGUAUUCCUUAGAUUAGUAUUGCUUAUUAGAUUAGUAUUGCUUAUAAGUAGUAUGAUAUUUAUAAUCCAACGACAUGAUGGGUUUCGUUUGGUUCUGUUUGGAAUGAUAAAUGACCUACUUAACUCAGUGGUUAGAGUACUGCUUUCAUACGGCAGGAGUCAUUGGUUCAAAUCCAAUAGUCGGUAUAACUUAUUAGAUACUAGACUCAAUGGUAUCUAAUAAGGUUUACGACCCACUUUUAGUGAUAUUUAUUUUUUGAUUUUGUAUCUUUUCUAUUUCAUUUUUAAAUUUGAAUUUUUGCAUCAGAAUUGGCUUCUGUUUGAUUGUAGUUGAUUGUAUUCACCCGACAGAAUCUAAAUAGGAUUAGAAAGAGAACUUCUUUUUAUUAUUCGAAUGUACUAACUUGUUGUACUAACUAGUUAUGAAAUCGGAUUGAUAGCCUCCACCCAUGUUCUAGCUCGUCGGAGAGCUAGAUUUGCCUUAAUUUUUUGUCUCCUUCCUUUAGCCUUUUUCAUAUUAGCCUCCGCUAUUUCAAGAGUUUGCUGAGCUUCUUGUGGAUCAAUGUCACUACCCUUCUCUGCAUCAUUUACUAAAACAAUGAUCUCAUUAUUGCCUAUUCUAGCAAAACCAUCCAUCCGAGCCAUCGUUAACCAUUGGUUGUUAAUAUGCCAAUUCGACCACUAUUAGUAAAUAACACGAUUUCUUCCACUUCUGAAUCCCAAACAAUUCGAUUAGGAGUCAGUACACUAAGAUUUAAGGUCAUUUCUUCAAAUUUCUCUCUAUUUCUAAGUUCAUAGCCUUCGCAGUAGCUUCAUCAAUAUUACCUACCAAAUAAAAGGCCUAUUCAGGAAGACCAUCUAAUUCUCCAGAAAGGAUCAAUUGAAAUCCUCAAAUUGUUUUUGCUAGACCAACAUAUUUCCCUGGAGAACCCGUAAAUACUUCUGCUAUGAAAAAGGGUUGUGAUAAGAAACGCUCAAUUUUUUGCGUUCUUGCUACGAGUAAACGAUCCUCUUCGGAUAAUUCGUCCAAUCCAAGGAUAGCUAUAAUGUCCUAAAGUUCUUUGUAACGUUGUAAGGUUUGCUUAACACGUUGGGCGGUUUCGUAAUGUUCCUCACCAACGAUCCGAGGUUGAAGCAUGGUUGACGUUGAAUCUAAAGGAUCAACUAUUGGAUAAAUACCUUUGGCAGCCAAUCCUCUUGAUAGUACGGUAGUAGCAUCUAAAUGUGCAAAUGUCGUAGCAGGAGCAGGGUCAGUCAAAUUGUCUGCGGGUAAAUAAACUGCUUGAACAGAUGUUAUGGACCCUUCUUUGGUAGAAGUAAUUCUUUCUUGUAAAGAAACCAUUUCAGUACUUAGGGUCGGUUGAUAACCCACAGCGGAAGGCAUUCUACAUAAUAAGGAUGAUACUUUGGAUCCUACUUGGACGAAACGGAAGAUAUUGUCAAUAAAUAGAAGUACGUCUUGCUCAUUAACAUCUUGGAAAUAUUCUGCCAUAGUUACGGAAGUCAAACCAACUCUCAUAUGAGCUCCUGGUGGUUCAUUAAUCUGACCGUAAAGUAGGGCCACUUUUGAUUCUGUAAUAUUUUCUUCAUUAAUCAUUCCAGAUUCUUUCAUUUCCAUGUAAAGAUCAUUUCCUUCCUGAGUACGUUCACCUACUCUGCCAAAUACGGAUACGCCCUCGUGGGAUUUAGCAAUAUUGUUAAUCAAUUCCAUAAUGAGUACUGUUUUACCCACUCCAGCUCCCCCAAAUAGUCCAAUUUUUCCUCCACGGCGAUAAGGGGCUAAAAGAUCUACUACUUUAAUUCCUGUUUCAAAAAUAGAUAGUUUUGUAUCCAACUGUAUAAAGGCGGGCACAGAUCUAUGAAUAGGAGACGUUGUACUAGUAUCUACAGGCCCUAAAUUAUCAACAGGCUCUCCGAGCACGUUAAGAAUUCAUCCCAGAGUCGUCCCCCGACCGGAACACUUAUAGGAGCUCCUGUGUUAAUCACUUCCAUUCCUCUCGUUAAACCAUUUGUAGCACUCAAAGCUACAGAUCUAACUCGAUUAUUUCCUAAUAAUUAAUGUACCUCACAAGCCAUAGUAAUUGGUUGACCAACACUAUCUCGACUUUGAACUAUGAAAGCGUUAUAAAUAUUUGGCAUCUUGCCCUGGGGAAAGGCUACAUCUAGUACCGGACUGAUGAUUUGGACGACACGCCCCAGAUUUUUUUUUUCAAGCGUGGAAACCCUAGAACCAGAAGUAGUAGGAUUGAUUCUCAUAAUAAUAAAAUAAAUAAAUAUGUCAAAAUGUUUUUUCAAAGGGCAUUACUUGAAAGCUACUGCAGGUACAUGCGAAGAAAUGAUGAAAAGAGCUGUAUUUUCUAGAGAAUUGGGCGUUUCGAUCGUAAUGCAUGACUACUUAAAGGGGGGAUUCACCACAAAUACUGGCUUGGCUCAUUAUUGCCGAGAUAAUGGUCUACUUCUACACAUCCACCGUGCAAUGCAUGCAGUUAUUAAUGGACAGAAGAAUCAUGGUAUGCACUUUCGGGUAUUAGCAAAAACAUUACGUAUGUCUGGUGGAGAUUAUAUUCGCACUGGUACCGUAGUAGGUAAACUUGAAGGUGAAAGAGACAUAACUUUGGGAUUUGUUAAUUUAUUAUGUGAUGAUUUUGUUGAACAAGAUCGAAGUCGCGGUAUUUAUUUCACUCAAGAUUGGGUCUCUUUACCAGGUGUUCUACCUGUGGCUUCAGGAGGUAUUCAUGUUUGGCAUAUGCCUGCUCUGACCAAGAUCUUUGGGGAUGAUUCCGUACUACAUUUAGGUGGAGGAACUUUAGGACAUCCUUGGGGUAAUGUGCCAGGUGCCGUAGCUAAUCGAGUAGCUCUAGAAGCAUGUGUAAAAGCUCGUAAUGAAGGACGCGAUCUUGCUCGAGAAGGUAAUGAGAUUAUUCGUGAGGCUUUCAAAUGGAGCCCGGAACUAGCUGUUUCUUGUGAGGUAUGGAAAGAGAUCAUAUUUAAUUUUGCAGCAGUGGACGUUUUGGAUAAGUAAAAACAGUAGACAUUAGUAGAUAAAUUAGCAGGAAUAACGAAGGAUAAGGAGAAAGAACUCAAGUAAUUAUCCUUCGUUCUCUUAAUUGAAUUGCAAUUAAACUCGGCCCAAUCUUUUACUAUAAGGAUUGAGCCGAAUACAACAAAAAUUCUAUUGCAUAUAUUUUGACUAAGUAUAUACUUAACUAGAUAUACAAGAUUUGAAAUACAAAAUCUAGAAAACUAAAUAAAAAUCUAAGACUCAAAUCUUUCUAUUGUUGUCUUGGAUCCACAAUAAAUCCUAAGGAUUCUUAGGAUUGGUAUAUUUUUUUCUAUCCUGUAGUUUGUAGUUUCCCUGAAUCAAGCCAAGUAGCACAUCUCUUUCUACCCAUCCUGUAUAUUGUCCCCUUUGUUCCAUUCCGUCUUGAAAUGGAAGCUUAAUUUAUUACUUAUUAUUUUAUUAGAUUUUAGAUUAGUUAGUGAUUAGAUAUUAGUAUUAGACGAGAUUUUAAGAAAUUUUUUUUAUUUCUUUAUAGGAGGAGUAUAGGAGAGGACAAAUCUCUUUUUUUUCGAUGCGAAUUUGACACAACAUAGGAGAAGCCGCCCUUUAUCAAAAAUUAUAUUAUUAUAUUUAUAUUAUUUUUAAUAAUAAAAUAAUAAAAGGGGGUUCCAAGGUAUUCCUUUAAUUUGAAGUGUUUUUUCAAUACUCACUAAUAAUCCUACUAAUAAUCCUAGUGAUUGGAUUUCUAUGCUUAGUCUGAUAGGAAAUAAGAUAUUCAAAUAAAUAAUUUUAUAGCGAAUGACUAUUCAUCUAUUGUAUUUUCAUGCAAAUAGGGGGCAAGAAAACUCUAUGGAAAGAUGGUGGUUUAAUUCGAUGUUGUUUAAGAAGGAGUUCGAACGCAGGUGUGGGCUAAAUAAAUCAAUGGGCAGUCUUGGUCCUAUUGAAAAUACCAGUGAAGAUCCAAAUCGAAAAGUGAAAAACAUUCCUAGUUGCAGUAAUGUUGAUUAUUUAUUCGGCGUUAAAGACAUUCGGAAUUUCAUCUCUGAUGACACUUUUGUAGUUAGUGAUAGGAAUGGAGACAGUUAUUCCAUCUAUUUUGAUAUUGAAAAUCAGAUUUUUGAGAUUGACAACGAUCAUUCUUUUCUGAGUGAACUAGAAAGUUCUUUUUAUAGUUAUCGAAACUCGAGUUAUCUGAAUAAUGGAUUUAGGGGCGAAGAUCCCUACUAUAAUUCUUACAUGUAUGAUACUCAAUAUAGUUGGAAUAAUCACAUUAAUAGUUGCAUUGAUAAUUAUCUUCAGUCUCAAAUCUGUAUAGAUACUUCCAUUAUAAGUGGUAGUGAGAAUUACAGUGACAGUUACAUUUAUAGGGCCGUUUGUGGUGGUGAAAAGUAAUGUGUCAGGAGAAAUUAGUACAAGUAGCCAUGGAUACACUUCUUGAUAAUGGAAUCCGGGGACAACCAAUGAGGGACGAUCAUAAUAAAGUUUACAAGUCAUUUUCUGAUGUAAUUGAUGGAAAAGAGGGAAGAUUUCGUGAGACUCUGCUUGGCAAAUGAGUUGAUUAUUCAGGACGUUCUGUCAUUGUCGUGGGUCCUUCACUUUCAUUACAUCGAUGUGGAUUGCCUCAUGAAAUAGCAAUAGUACUUUUCCAGACAUUUAUAAUUUGUGGUCUAAUUAGACAACAUCUUGCUUCGAACAUAAGAGUUGCUAAGAGUAAAAUUCGAGAAAAAGAGCCGAUUGUAUGGGAAAUCCUUCAAGAAGUUAUGCAGGGAUAUCCUAUAUUGCUGAAUAGAGCACCCACUCUGCAUAGAUUAGGCAUAUAAGCAUUCCAGCCCAUUUUAGUGGGGGGCGCGCUAUUUGUUUACAUCCAUUAGUUUGCAAGGGAUUCAAUGCCGAUUUUGAUGGAGAUCAAAUGGCUGUUCAUAUACCUUUAUCCUUGGAGGCUCAAGUAGAGGCCCAUUUACUUAUGUUUUCUUAUAUGAAUCUUUUGUCUCCGGUUAUUGGGGAUCCCAUUUCCGUACCAAUGCAAGAUAUGCUUAUUGGACUCUAUGUAUUAACGAGCGAAAAUCAUCGAUGUAUUUGUGUAAAUAGAUAUAAUCCAUGUAAUCGCAGAAACUAUCAAAAUAAAAAAAGAAGUGACAAUAGUUACUAUAAGUAUACGAAAGAACCAUUUUUUCUGAAUUCCUAUGAUGCAAUUGGGGCUUAUCGGUAGAAACAAAUCAAUUUAGAUAGUUCUUUGUGGCUCCGGUGGUGACUAGAUCAACGCGUUAUUGCUUUAAGAAAAACUCCCAUCGAAGUUCACUAUGAAUCUUUACGUACUUUUUGUGAGAUUUAUGGACACUAUCUAAGAGUAAGAAGUCUAAAAAAACAAAUCCUUUUUAUAUACAUUCGAACCACUAUUGGUCAUAUUGCUCUUUAUCGAGAAAUCAAAGAAGCUAUACAGGGGUUUUCUCGAGCCUAUUCAUAUGGUACCUAACGCAAUUCUAUGAUACCGUGGGACUUCGGGGCUCUCCGGUUCAGCUAGGUACAUAGUUCCGGAAUUUAUACGCGAAUCAAGAUCGAUAAAAGGAAGUUUUACAAUCACCGACUCAAACCCAUUGUCGAAUCCUACUCAGCGGAAUAUGGAGGUACUUAUGGCAGAACGGGCCAAUCUGGUCUUUCACAAUAAAGCGAUAGACGGAACUGCCAUGAAACGACUUAUUAGUAGAUUAAUAGAGCACUUCGGAAUGGCAUAUACAUCACAUAUCCUGGAUCAAGUAAAAACUCUGGGGUUCCAACAAGCUACUGCUAUAUCCAUUUCAUUAGGAAUUGAAGAUCUUUUAACAAUACCUUCUAAGGGAUGGCUCGUUCAAGAUGCUGAAUAAUAAAGUUUGAUUUUGGAAAAACACCAUCAUUAUGGGAAUGUACACACGGUAGAAAAAUUAUUUCAAUCCAUUGAAAUAUGGUAUGCUAUAAGUGAAUAUUUGCUACAAGAAAUAAAUUCAAAUUUUAGGAUGACUGACCCUUUUAAUCCAGUUUAUAUAAUGUCUUUCUCGGAAGCUAGAGGAAAUGCAUCUCAGGUACAUAAAUUAGUAGGUAUGAGAGGAUUAAUGUCGGAUCCUCAAGGACAAAUGAUUGAUUUACCUAUUUAAAGCAAUUUGCGUGAAGGACUCUCUUUAACAGAAUAAAUCAUUUCUUGCUAUGGAGCCCAUAAAGGAGUUGUGGAUACUAUUGUACGAACAUCAGACGCUGGAUAUCUCACUCGUAGACUUGUUGAAGUAGCUCAACACAUUGUUGUCCGCCGAACGGAUUGUGGCACCGCCCGGGGUAUUUCUGUGAGUCCUCGAAAUGGGAUGAUGCUAGAAAGGAAUUUUAGUCAAACAUUAAUUGGCCUUGUAUUAGCAGAUGAUAAAUACAUGGGUUCACAAUAUAUUGCCACUAGAAAUCAAGACAUUGGCAUUGGACUUGUAAAUCAGUUCAUAACCUUUCGGGCACAACCAAUCUCUAUUCGAACUCCCUUUACUUGUAGGAGUACAUCUUGGAUUUGUCGAUUAUGUUAUGGACGGAGUCUUACUCAUGGCGACCUGGUUGAGUUGGGGGAAGUUGUAGGUAUUAUUGUAGGUCAAUCGAUUGGAGAACCGGGUACUCAAUUAACAUUAAGAACUUUUCAUACCAGAGGAGUAUUCACGGGGGGUACUGCAGAACAUGUGCGAGCCCCAUCUAAUGGAAAAAUAAAAUUCAAUGAGGAUUUGGUUCAUCCGACAUGUACACGUCAUGGGCAUCCCACCUUUCUAUUUUCUAUAGACUUGUAUGUAACUAUUGAGAGUGAAGAUAUUCUACAUAAUGUGAAUAUUCCACCAAAAAGUUUGCUUUUAGUUCAAAACGAUCAAUAUGUAGAAUCAGAACAAGUAAUUGCUGAGAUUCGCGCAGGAAUAUCCACUUUGAAUUUUAAAGAGAAGGUUCGAAAACAUAUUUAUUCUGAUUCAGACGGAGAAAUGCACUGGAGUACCGAUGUCUAUCAUGCACCCGAAUUUACAUACGGUAAUGUUCAUCUAUUACCAAAAACAAGUCAUUUAUGGAUAUUAUUAGGAGGGCCGUGCAGGUCCAGUCUAGUCUACCUUUCGAUCCACAAGGAUCAGGAUCAAAUGAAUGCGCAUUCUCUUUCUGGCAAGCGAAGAUAUACUUUUAACCUCUUAGUAACCAUUGAUUAGGCGAGGAAAAAAUUACUUAGUUCAGAUUUUUACGUUAAAAAGGAAGAUAGGAUUCCUGAUUAUUCAGACCUUAAUCGAAUCAUAUGUACUGGUUAGUAUAAUCUCGUAUAUUCACCUAUUCUCCAUGAGAAUUCUGAUUUAUUGUCAAAAAGACGAAGAAAUAAAUUCAUCAUUCCACUACAUUCGAUUCAAGAACUCGAGAAUCAACUAAUGCCCUGUUCAGGUAUCUCGAUUGAAAUCCCUGUAAAUGGUAUUUUCCGUCCAAAUAGUAUUCUUGCUUAUUUAGAUGAUCCUCGAUACAGAAUAAAGAGUUCGGGCAUUAUUAAAUAUGGGACUAUAGAAACGCAUUCAGUCAUCAAAAAGAGGAUUUGAUUGAGUAUCGAGGAGUCAAGGAAUUUCGGUUAAAAUACCAAAUGAAAGUAGAUCGAUUUUUUUCAUUCUUGAAGAGGUGCAUAUUUUGCCCGGAUCUUCUUGUAUAAUGGUAUGGAACAACAGUAUCGUUGGGGUAGAUACACAAAUCACCUUAAAUCUAAGAAGCCAACUCGGUGAGUUGGUUCGGGUGGAUAGAAAAAACAAACGAAUUAAACUUAAAAUCUUUUCUGGAGAUAUCCAUUUUCCCGGAGAGACAGAUAAGAUAUCCAGACAUACCGGUGUUUUGAUACCAUCAGGAACAGGAAAAAGGAAUUCCAAGGAAUCCAAAAAAGUUAAAAAUUGGGUCUAUAUCCAACGGAUUACACUUAGUAAGAAAAGGUUUUGUGUUUUAGUUCGACCUGUCGUCACAUAUGAAAUAACGGACGGUAUAAAUUUAGCAACCCUUUUUCCAACGAAUCCAUCGCAGGAAAAGGAUAAUGUGCAACUUUGAAUUGUCAAUUAUAUCCUUUAUGGAAAUGGCAAACCGAUUCGAGGAAUUUCUGACACAAGUAUUCAAUUAGUUCGGACUUGUUUAGUAUUGAAUUGGAACCAAGACAAAAAAAGUUCUUCUUACGAAAAAGCCCGUGCUUCUUUUGUUGAAAUAAGCACAAAUGGUUUGAUUCGACAUUUCCUAAGAAUUAACUUAGUGAAAUCCCCUAUUUCGUAUAUCGGAAAAAGGAAUGAUCCGUCGGGGUCAGAAUUGCUCUCUGAUAAUGGAUCAGAUUGUACCAAUAUCAACCCUUUUUCUUCCAUUUAUUCCUAUUCCAAGGCAAAAAUUUAACAAUCUCUUAACCAACCUCAAGGAACUAUUCAUACAUUGUUGAAUAAAAAUAAGGAAUGUCAGUCAUUGAUAAUUUUGUCAACAGCCAAUUGUUCUCGAAUGGGGCCAUUCAAGGAUGUAAAAUAUCACAGUGUGAUAAAAGAAUCAAUUAAAAAUGAUCCCCUGAUUCCAAUUAGAAAUUCGUUGGGCCCUUUAGGAACAUGCCUUCCAAUUGAGAAUUUUUAUUCAUCUUACCAUUUAAUAACUCAUAAUCAGAUCUUAGUAACUAACUAUUUGCAACUUGAAAAUUUAAACCAGACCUUUCAAGUGAUUAAAUUUAAAUAUUAUUUAAUGGAUGAAAAUGGAAAAAUUUUUAAUCCCGAUCCAUGUCGUAACAUUAUUUUAAAUACAUUCAAUUUGAAUUGGUCGUUUGUCCAUCAUAAUUACUGUGAAGAGACAUCUAAAAUAAUAAGUAUUGGACAGUUUAUUUGUGAAAAUAUAUGUAUAGCCAAAAAUGGACCGCCCCUCAAAUCGGUUCAAGUUAUACCUGUUCAAGUUGACUCGAUAGUGAUACGAUCAGGUAAGCCUUAUUUGGCCACCCCCAGAGCAACCGUUCAUGGCCAUUAUGGCAAAACCCUUUACGAAGGAGAUACAUUAGUUACAUUUAUAUAUGAAAAUUCGAAAUUUGGUGAUAUAACACAGGGUCUUCCAAAAGUAGAAUAGGUGUUAGAACUACUUUCGAUUGAUUCAAUAUCCAUGAAUCUAGAAAAGAGGGUUGAGGGUUGGAACAAAUGUAUAACAAGAAUUCUUGGAAUUCCUCGGGGAUUCUUGAUUGGUGCUGAGCUAACUAUAGCGCAAAGCCGAAUCUCUUUGGUUAAUAAAAUCCAACAGGUUUAUUGCUCCCAGGGGGUGCGAAUUCAUAAUAGGCAUAUAGAAAUUAUUGUACGUCAAAUAACAUCAAAAGUGUUGGUUUCAGAAGAUUUACUGUCUAAUGUUUUUUCACCCGGAGAACUUAUUGGAUUGUUGCGAGCAGAACAAAUGAGUCGUGCUUUGGAAGAGGCGAUCUGUUACCGAGUCGUCUUAUUAGGAAUUACAAAAGCAUCUCUCAAUACUCAAAGUUUCAUAUCUAAAGUGAGUUUUCAAGAAACUGCUCGAAUUUUAGCAAAAGCGGCUCUUCGGGGUCGUAUCGAUUGAUUGAAAGACCUAAAAGAGAACGUUGUUUUAGGGGGGUGAUACCCGUUGGUACCGGAUUCAAGGGAUUAGUACACCCUUCAAAACAACAUAACAACUUUUCUUUGGAAACAAAAAAAAGAAUCUAUUCGAGGGGGAGAUGAGAGAUGUUUUGUUCCACCACAGAAAAUUAUUUGAUUCUUGUCUUUCAAAAAAAUUUCACGACAUAACCGAACAAUCAUUUAUAGGAUUUAAUGAUUCCUAACAAUGAAUUCAUCUCUUUCGCUAUCUGUAUUUGGGAUGGUUAUUUGCUUUGGUAAUAAAAAGAAUAAUGAAUAGAAACGAAUAAUGGUUUGGGUCGUGUAUCUACGUCCAAUCUACGGUAGAAGAGAAGGUUCCGUCAAAAUAAUUAUUUAUUUCAGUUCAGGGUUCCUCUUUUUUUUUUAAUAAUAAAAAUAGGGGGGGGCAGGGAGGUUGUGGGGAGAAAUGACAAGAAGAUAUUGGAACAUAAAUUUGGAAGAGAUGAUGGAGGCAUGAGUUCAUUUUGGUCAUGGUACUAGGAAAUGGAAUCCUAAAAUGGCGUCUUAUAUCUCUGCAAAGCGUAAGGGUAUUCAUAUUAAAAAUCUUACUAGAACUGCUCUUUUUUUAUCAAAAGCUUGUGAUUUAAUUUUUGACGCAGCAAGUAGGGGAAAGCAAUUCUUAAUUAUUGGUACAAAAAAUAAAGCAACUGAUUCAGUAGAGUGGGCUGCAAUAAGGGCUCGGUGUCAUUAUGUUAAUAAAAAAUGGCUUGGCAGUAUGUUAACAAAUUGUUCCACUACAGAAAAAAGACUUCAUAAGUUCAGGGACUUGAGAAUGGAACAAAAAACAGGGAGACUCAACCGUCUCCCGAAAAGAGAUGCAACUAUGUUUAAAAGACAAUUAUCUCGCUUGCAAACAUAUCUGGGCGGGAUUAAAUAUAUGAUAGGGGUACCCACUAUUGUAAUCAUCGUUGAUCAACAUGAAGAACAUAUGGCCCUGCGAGAGUGUAUUACUUUAGGAAUUCUAACAAUUUGUUUAACCGAUACAAAUUGUGACCCCGAUCUCGCAGAUAUUUCAAUUCCAGCGAAUGAUGACGCCAUAUCCUCAAUCCAAUUAAUUCUUAAUAAAUUAUUAUUCACAAUUUAUGAGGGUCGUUCUAGCUAUGUAAGAAAUCCUUGAUUAAUAAUAACAGAAUAAGAUAAAUAACUUACUUCAGAAAUCCCUUAUGGAAUCGCUUACUAUUUCUGAAUUUCCAAAAAGAGAUAAAAAUAACUGGGGAUAUUAUGUGAUUUAUUAGUAUUAUAAAUCUUAGUUGGUAUUACAAAUAUCCGAUUCAAGUAGACAAAGAGAUGGUUGAAUCAAAAAAUUUUGUUUAAAGUUUAAUUUUUUCAGAGGGCAAGGCAAUAUGAAUGUUCUAUCAUGUUCUAUCAAUACUCUAAAGGGGUUAUACGAUAUAUCCGGUGUGGAAGUAGGCCAACAUUUCUAUUGGCAAAAAAAAUAGGGGGUUUCUAAGUACAUGGCCAAGUACUUAUUACUUCUUGGGUUGUAAUUGCUAUCUUAUUAGGUUCAGCCACUAUAGCUGUUCGGAACCCACAAACCAUCCCGACCGGGGGUCAGAAUUUCUUCAAAUAUGUUAUUGAAUUCAUUCGAGAUGUAAGUAAAACUCAAAUUGGAGAAGAAUAUGGGACCUGGGUUACUUUUAUUGGCACUAUGUUUUUAUUUAUUUUUGUUUCUAAUUGGUUAGGAGCUCUUUUACCUUGGAAAAUCAUACAAUUACCUCAUGGGGAGUUAGCCGCACCCACGAAUGAUAUAAAUACUACUUUUGCUUUAGCUUUACUCACAUCAGUGGCAUAUUUUUAUGCGGGUCUUACAAAAAAGGGAUUAGGUUAUUUCAGAAAAUAUAUUCAACCAACCCCAAUCCUUUUACCCAUUAACAUCUUAGAAUAUUUCACAAAACCCUUAUCACUUAGUUUUCGACUUUUUGGGAAUAUCUUAGCUGAUGAAUUAGUAGUUGUUGUUCUUGUUUCUUUAGUACCCUUAGUAGUUCCUAUACCUGUCAUGCUCCUUGGAUUAUUUACAAGUGGUAUUCAAGCUCUUAUUUUUGCAACUUUAGCCGCGGCUUAUAUAGGUGAAUCCAUGGAGGGCCAUCAUUGAAAUAGUCUUUUUUAGCUUAGCCCACAGCAAUGAAAAAAUGUAUAUGGUGGGUGGAAUUACUUAACUUAGGGAAUAGAAUAGGGGAAUCUAAAUAUACAACUAUGUUAUAUACGAUCUAGAGUGAUAGCAAAAAAAUUACGAUGAUAUUAAAGAGUAAGGGAAAAAGAUCUAAAAAAAAAGAUCUUUUUCCUAAAAUUCCCUUUUCCUUCACUUAAUAUCAUACUUCGUCUCAAUGAAUAUUCACUUUAGAUUGCUUAGUCCAUCUCAUUAUUAUAUUAACUUAACUCAUUAUUAAUUCAUUGUUAAAUUAAUUCAUUGUUAAAACAAUUUGAAUAUAAGAAUUUUUGUCAAUAAUUCUUGUUGUAUAGGUUUACGACGUGUAAUUAAAUAAAAUAAAGGGCGAAAUGAUUUCCCUUUCAGUUGAUUUUAUUCAACGAUUGACCAAAAUACUAAAAAUGAAUAAAAAAAUUAUUCAUUUUUAUUAAUAAAUUGCAUGAACU